ensembl:lncRNA LINC01121 long intergenic non-protein coding RNA 1121
AGUCAAGUGCUUAGGUAACUCACAUUUGCGACUUGCACGGUGUGAAUUGUGGGUGUCCUCACCUGUCCUGAGACUAGCCAGCUGACUGUUGCCCAGAGCUAGCAGGCAUAGCCAGCUGAAAUUCUGAAAGUGGAUUAUGCAUGGAGUAAUGCUGUUCUCAGGAAAUCAGUGAUUUAUUUUAUAAUCUAAAAUUUAAACGUUUUAAUAUACCUCCCAAGAAGAUACCCAGUUCAGAAAACUGCAGAGGAGCCAUGGAACUCAGCAGAAGGCCAGCUCCCUCUCUGGGAGGCCGCCUUCAGGAAACCAAUCGUCCCCCCACCUGAUUCCAAAGGAAUUACAGAAAAAUGGAAAGCCAGGAACAAAAAUCAUAAAUCAUAUUUUCAAUAUGACCUUGUAACGUUAUCCAUGGAUGUUACCUCAGACUUCGUGAUAAGCUGAGGCCCUGACACCAUGUUCCUGUCACCUUCCUGUUGUGGCCAUGAACGAUGCCUUGAGCUCAGCUGUACCUGGAUGCUUGGACUCAGCUGCUGCAGCUCAGAGGCUCUGGACGAGCCCUUCAUCAUCAGGCCAUCUCUUCUGAGAUUCUGCUCAGGACUUGGGCCUGGAUGAUCUGCUGAGCUUCAGUCUCUGCCCUGCUCCCCUCAUGGAGGACCUGAUUCAUCUGGAGCCUCGGACUCCCUAUGUAGUGGUCCCUGGGAUCAGAGCAGCACUCUUGGAAGAACAGUAAAACAGACUUGUUAUUGGCAGCCCAUUAGUGCUCAGGAGAGGCGGUCUCCAGCAUGACAUCAGCCGGCGGCUCGACCCAAAUCUAGUAUUUCACCAGAGAGCCUAACGCUGCUGGCUUUCCAACUGUGUGGAAGACGUAAGUGGGGGAGAGGGAAGAAGGCAUAAAUAAGAUACAGACUGGAGACUUUUUGAUGUGUUUAGCACAUUUUUGUGAUUUCCUUUAAUACGAUAGGCCUUGCAUAAUCUCCCAUUAGGAGAACAAAAGACAAGCCUGAGAUGGGAUGGAGAAUGGGUGGAGAGGGGGAUCCAUUCCAUAAAAAGUUCACUUUGAGUAAUUAGCAUUUUUAAUCCAAAUACUUAAAAGGGGAGGCGAAUUGGGAAGAGAAGAAUGAAUACAGCCGAGUGACUGCAGAUAUAAAAAGUCCCUUCAUUAAUUCGGUUGUUUUUUAAUUCCUAAUUGAACUUAAAUAAAGAGGACCUAGAGGCAGCUGUUUCUAAUAUCGAGUCCCCACCGCACAUGAAAGACGCAUUUAUUCCUGCAGCAGCCUCCCUACCCUUGGGUGUUAUCAGCUGAACAUGUUUUGAACCUACCUAAUGCAUUUGAGGUAGCUUGGGUUUAUUUUUCUUUCAAUAAAAUAAAUGGUUUUGUAAUUAAA